rnacentral:rRNA from 1 species
CCUACGUGUGGCAGCCGUAGGGAAUUUUCGGCAAUGGGGGGAACCCUUACCGAGCAACGCCGCGUGAACGAAGAAGUUAUUCGUAAUGUAAAGUUCUUUUAACAGGGAAGAAAGAGAAAUUUGACGGUACCUGAAGAAUAAGCUCCGGCUAACUACGUGCCAGCAGCCGCGGUAAUACGUAGGGAGCGAGCUUUAGUCGGAAUUAUUGGGCGUAAAGGGUGCGUAGAUGGCAUAGUAAGUCUUUUGUAAAAAUGCUGGGCUCAACCCAUUAGGGCAAAAGAUAAUGCAAAGCUAGAGUAUGACAGAGGAAAGUGGAACUACAGGUGUAGCGGUAAAAUGCGUAAAUAUGUGUAAGAACACCAGUGGCGAAGGCGGCUUGCUGGGUCGAUACUGACAUUGAGGCACGAAAGCGUGGGGAGCAAACAGGAUUAGAUACCCGUGUAGUC